rnacentral:lncRNA from 1 species
CCAAACAGUGGAAGUGGAUACAACAAGUGGUAUCGAGACGUUCGGUCUCGACCAGCUCUUCCGCACCAAUCUCGAUCGUUAGCCAAUGUCAGAGGCUUACAGUGUUGGAGCGCUCGUGGCUGCUCUUCAGGGUAAGUGAAAGAUCGUAACCAUCUGUAUUGUUUGUCCUUGGUUGCAUCGCCCAUUGUGAUCGCAGAAGUUAGAACGGGAGCGGCGGAUCCAACCGAGGUAGAGCCGCCUCCUCAAGCCCUUCCCUUAUCCGCGGUAGUGACCACGCCGUUAUUACAUAAGGGUAGGCCCUUCUUAUUUUAGCUAAAAUGUUUAACUCCGCUCCGUUAAAUUUGGGCGGCGACCGUAAUGGCGUAGACAUGGCAUCGGGCGCGCUUGAUGCUCGCUCCACUUUGCCUGCCUACGCUGUUGCGGGACUUGUUUCCGACCCCGGUGCUAGUACUUCUAGAGUUCCGGGCGGCCCUAUUGAGGCGCCUGUUGCUGUUCGCGAACCUGAUGCGCGAACACCAUUUUCAACUUUUGCCGCAGCACCUUUGUUGCAUAUGCCCACUGGGGCUGCCGAGAAUGUUCGUUUGAGGCCACUUGGUCCUACUGGUGAUGAACGUCUCAACUCCUUGCCUUCUUUGGCCCCUUUUGCUCUGCUUUGCACCCGCUCAAUACCCCCGUGAACCGCCCCAAUGUCUCGCCUGUUAUACCAGAGACUCAGACUACAGAUGCAGACCGCCGUGCGGCGGCUGCACGGGUGUUAGCGGCGGAAGCGGCUGCUGCUGCUGAGGCUGCGGUUGCGGCGGCAGCCGUAGCCGAGCCAGAGCCUUUGCCUCCGGUUCGGUCACUCUCUUCGGCUGACCUCCCGCGGGUUAGUUUACCGACCCCUGUAUUACAAUUAGAUGCCAAGCUUGAUGCGAAGCAGACUGCUGCCCGCGUCAAGGUGUUUAUCCGCGACGCGUCUUUGUUUUUUGACAUCGUGCCCUGGGGUAGGGACCAUCGGUCUUGCUGCCUGUUUUUGUCGCAAGCGCUCUGUGGUGCUGCAAAAACGUGGUAUGAUGAGUGGUCCCUAUCGCAGCGCGAACUCACUGCUCAGCUUGUUUUCGAUAACCUGUGUACGCGUUUCGCUCCUCAAGUUAUCUCUGUAGAACAAGAAGCACGACGUAAGCUCUCUGACAAAUCUUUUGCGAUGCGUGCUGGUGAAAGUGUACCAGCUUACCUCUCGCGUCUUGAGGCCGUCUUCCAAGACAUACCCACGAUCACUCCUAGCGAGCGUAUGUUUUGGUUUUUCGAAGGCCUUUCUUCUUCCCUUCAGCCCCAUUGCGCCACAGACGUCUAUGGAAAGCCGUUUGCCUCUUACGACGCCCUGGUACAGCAUGCCUUGGGCCAGGAAGUUCGCGCCCUGUCUGAACGAAAAGUUCGUUCUGCUCUUCGUUCGAAUUCCGUUGCUUUGCAGGAAUUCGACGGAGACCAGCCCCCGUUCAAGAGGGCGCACGUGGAUUCCGGUCCUCGGCUAGCCGCGGCCGUUUCAGGGACCUCCCGGCAGCCGGGACGUGGGAGUGUUCCUGGGCGAAGUAGUCGAGGGGGCAGAACGGGUCCGUGUGGUGGGCGUGGUGACAGGGUGCGCGGCACUGACCGCCCUAACGAAUCCGCCGCCGGAGAGCCCGUCAUUCCGUUGACCAAAGCUUGCGAGUUGACCAAGUGGGUCAACCAGUUCGGCCGUAGGUUGACGCACGGGGAGGUGGGGAUUCUCCGACGGCGCGCGGGCGGUAAGGCCAUCUGUUUUUGUUGUGAGGCGGUUAGUCCCGACCACCUCUACGACGACUGCCCUGCUCUCAAAAGGUUGCGUGAAGCAGGGCUGUAUUAGGAACUUGCUCAGGGUGGUAUUGAGGGAUACUACCCUGAGUUUCCUUUUGCCGGGAUUCGUUCUUUGGUCCGCGCGGUUAGACCCGCUUCGUUGGCAGAGUUCGAGAGUGCCGUUGGACGCCGUUUUUCUUUUGACACCGUUGCGGUCAAACCGGGCUUUGACUCGGAAUGUAACAUAACGGUUCCUCA